CAUUGCGCCGCAGGGACGUGCACAGCUUCUUCACCUCGUCCACCGUCGGAUCCAGGCUCUGCUUGUACCUGGCCUGUGGACAUACAGGACUUCCAGAGAGACCAAGAAUCCAGAAUCACAAUGGCUUAAAAAAUACUGAUGUACUGAAAAAAAGAGCCACCAAGUCGAAGAGUAGGACAAUUGUACACACACAUCUACAAAAUCUGCUGCUGAAAGCCUGCUUAUAAGUCAAGGUCUCAGAAGUUAAUGCUUUUUAACCUUUCUUCUAUAGCAUGCAAGGAUAAGAAAGUCUUAAAAUACCAUAGUAAAAGGCAUGAAGUGCUUUAUUUAAUGUAAAAAUGUUUUGCUUAUCUAUGCAGCUUGAAAAAUAGAUAUCAAGCUGCUCAAUUAAUAUGCAGUACCUCAAGCCAGUAGGCAGGAUGGAUAGAAUGAAUGGUAUCAUUUGCGUGAUUACAGCCAUGAAGCAAAGCAAGCAAAUGGAAAAAAAACAUUCAGGAAGAGCCGGUGAUCCGACACGCUCAUCCUUCCUGGGGACUUCCACACUAAGUAAAGGACUUUUCAAGACCAAGACUUUUUUCAUUGUUACGAAAUAAAUACCAGGAGAGGAAGCGCUGUAAUGACAAGAAAAGUCCAGCGUUUGUUCAUCUGAUGGGGGUGGGGGUGGCAGCAGUGGGGCAGAGGAGCAGCUGACUAUUUCAUCCGAUGCCCUCUGGGUCAGUGCUAUUCCCAGUAACUGCUGAAAUCAACCUAAGGUUGAAUGCAAAUCGAAGCCAUCGUACAAAAAAAUUGCAUUCAAAAAUUGUUUGUUUUCAAACAAAUACGCUGCUGUGCCAUCGCACACUUUGCCUACUUAGUGCUGUGUUAAAAAAAAUGCAGAUACACGCAUUCCUAGACAGCCUGAGCUCUACUGCCAGGAGUCCUGCUCCUUCCUUCAAGAUGGAAAGCCUUCAAAUUCGAAAGGGGAAGGCAGGAGAACUGAGACCAAAGCAGCAUUCAUCAGCCCUGGAGAGCUCCCAUUUUCAACCAGUCAUCUGCAGCACAAAAGGCACAAGUGCUUUGUCCCUGCAAUGUAGAGGAAGAUACAGAUAGGUAGAUAAAGAUAUUAUGACAAAGCAGGCUAAAUAGCAAACUUCAAGGAGAAACUACAGUUUGCAUGAAAAGACAAAAACAAAAAAAAAAAACUAUUUUUUCCCUGCAAUGCUUUUAAUCUUUCUUUUAGCAGAGGCUUUACAAAUGCUUGCAGAUUAAGGACAGCAGGAUACUUUCCUAUGGGAAAUGAAAUACUGUCUUUCGCAUGCUGCACGUUCAUAUAAUGCUGGUCACUCACUGCUAAGCCAGGACAACGUGUUACUGUGCAGCACUUCUAAUUGAAAGAUGUCACCAUCAUUAAUUAAUGAGUUUGGGACAGUAAAAACUUGAGAAUGUCUUAUAAAGCCAUCAAUACCAAUGAAUAAAUCAUAGCUAACUCUAGAUCUUAAAAAUACGUAGAACUCCCUAUAGUAAAGUAACAUAUUUUCCUUUUCCAUCUCCCAGGCUUUGAGAGGUUCCUGCAGCUCUCCCACCCGGAGCCACGAAGCAGGGCAGCACAUCCCAUCCCCACGUCAGCUCCAUGCAUUUCAUUCAGCUAUAACAUUGUGUCUGCCAGUGACGGCAGCGCGUUGUCACGUCGGUGCUCCCCAUCGUUUUCAGGAGGGAUUGAGAUGUUUCAGAGGAUAAAUAAAACAAUGCAGCGUUCCCUGAUCAGCAGGGGGGUAACGGGACCCCCCCCGGGACGAGUCUGACUGGAGAGGAAAAACCAAUUCACCAACUUCUACCCCACUGGGAAACAUCAACAGUUAUUGGCUGCAUAAAGUCAUUCCCACGGUUCUAUGGAUUUUGUGCCUCAGCGAAUGGCUCUGCCGUGGAACCGCCACCUAAUUACAGGAUUUUCUUUUGCUUUGAAUGGCAUGAAAACAAACCAAAUGACCUGUGUUAAAGGCGGCUGCCCCAGAACCUCAGCAAAUGGGGCACUUCCCGCGUUGCAACAAACAUUUUGUCCCGCCAUAGCCUAAUUCUUCCUCGUGCUGAUUUAUGAUAGUCUUUCCUAGUUUAUUCCUCAGAGCAGCUGUACGGUUCAGGGGGAACCUCUGCAGAACGGAGCACAGGGGGAUGCUGCGCUGCGACUUGGAUCCAAACUGACCCCCAGUUUCCAAAUGCAGAAGACGCAUUAAACCUGAGACUUUGUCGCACGCGCAGACAGCCUGCUUAGCAUGAUUUAAUUAAAAGGAAUCAAAGCAAUCUAAUUAUUGCAAGAGAAUGUUUUUGGAACAGUGCCCAAACUUGAGAAACGGAACUAUGAGCGGCCUUCCAAGGAAAUAAGUAACCAAGGAACAAGAGCAGCUCAGCCGCUCGCCAUAAGCCUUGCGCUCCAGACCUUCUCCGGACGCGCUCCAGUUCCUCAAAAUCCAUCUUGUAGUGAGGGGCCCAAACAGUAGAGGGGACAAAGCAGCAGGUCCUGAAGUGACAAGCGAACUGUUGCAAGACGGCUGUGCCCAGUUCCAUCUCACUGCCCCCGCAGGCUGAGCCCCAGCACGCAUGCUGAGGAACAGACCCGGCAGCAGCUUCAGGCAGAGGACGGAUCAGCAGCUCCUUCCCAGGGACUGAAAAAGCACCUGAGUCGGCUGAAGGCCUGUUAAUGACAAACACUACAAACAGCGGAUUUGCUUUUCUGUAAAGUGAUAAAAGUAGAAUGGAAUUAAUCCAGAUUGCACGCUUUAUGGGGCAGCUGUCAGCUUGAUGCAACAUGUCCUCGGAGCGGCUGGAACAAACUCUGGCUUAGCCAUGAAGCAGGCUGGUGUCAGCCAGGCAGCUUCACAGCCAGAUCAUUCCACAGCUGUUAUGCCACACACACAACUGACAUUUUUUUUUUAAAACAUUAAUUUUUUUAGCACACUGGAAGCAUUUAAAAUAAUGAAAAGAUUGGCACUGGUCUUCCCAAAACACAAUUCCUUCAAAGAUCGGCGUUACGGUUUUCUUUUAUUUGGUUUAGUAUAAUUAAAAAGACAUUUUGAAUAAUCUGCCCAUUUAGAAAAUGAAAAAGGUUAGCAACGAGAAUGUGCCUGUUUACACGGCAAUGAAUUAAGGUGAAAACAUCAGAGAUUACUCAAACCUAUGGCACACCUCCACCUCCAUGCGUGUGCUUCUGGGCUGGCUUUCACGCUUGGAUAAGAGCUCUGCCAACCUGCAUCUCCAUUACAAAAGCAAAGACCAGGGACAAGGAGUAUCUCCUGUUUUGUUUUUUUAAACUAUUUAAACUAUUUUUUAAACUAUUCACCAUGAAGACAAUCUCAAUGUAUGUGCACCACGCCAGCCAAUGAAUUCAAAACAUCUUCAUCUGUGUCCCAGAGUUUCUCCUCUAUAUUUCUAUUAGAGAACCAUGAAGGAGCAGCAGUGCACACUUGCUGCAUUUAGGCACAAUUCUGAGUGUUGAAUACAAUGAUACACAAGAAACUGAAAAACCAAAGCCUUUGUGCCAUGCCGAGAGCAGGCAGUUCUGUAACCCUUAAGAUACAAAGAGAGUUUGUAAAGGCUGCAUAUACCAUAUACACGUAUGCAGUACAAUUAUGAGUGUCUGAAAAACUUAAUAUAACAAGCGGUAAAUAAAGGCUCUUGAUAAAUACUGUUCUUGUCCUGUAACAGUAGAAUCAAACAGCUAAAAGUACAAAAAGCUGAAAUCAGUUCUUUUUCAUUCAUUGGCCAAUAUAUUAAAGGCUGAUCCUGAAUGAUGGUGUAGGAAAAACCAAUUGUAAGCUUUCAGUGCUGCUUCAGGCAUCAGCUUUAGGGAAUGAAUACUGCAGCAUGGUAACCAGCACGUCCAUAACGCAGGACAACAAAGUGGCUCAAGAGAACCCCCCCAAAAAAAGGCAAGGUGAGCCCAAAUCUGCAGUAGCACGGGGCUUUUACAGCGAUGGGUCGGGAACAUUUUGUUACCCUCAGCCUUUCUGAAGGCUUAUUAAAAGAUUUGCAUGAAAAAGUGUCCAUAAGGACAGCAUACCUUUUCAGCAGAUAAGCCGAAAGAAACGCCACUCUCCGUGCCACCGACAGAAAUAGAGCUAAUGACUGCUAUGUAUAUCCACGUCACGUGUGCUCCGCGUGCCCGCGGCACGGACCUGCUGGCCAGGUGGCAGCCCCAGCUCACUGCUGGGCACAGCGCGGGAUCUGGAGAGAAAUCCCUGUACAAAGACUUGCUUAAGAACAGACAGGAGGGCGAGAAGCACUUCUUGUCUCCAGGAGUGAGGUCCCUGAGACGUUCCAAGGGAUCUGCUGGGCACCAGCCAACACCAACACCGCAUCCCAACACACGGUGCUCAGCCCCAACACCGAGCGUCCCCACCGCCCCCAAGGAACCCACCCCCCA